AUGACAGUUGAGGAAGUUGGCACUGCUGAAGCGGAUGGUGAUGGCCGGCGGAUAAUCAGAGUAAAAGAGCACAAGACCAAAGAAACAUUUGGCCAUGCACUUGUUCCCCUAACGAAAGACGAAUACAUAUGGUUUCACCGCUUUGUGUACCACCGCCAGAGAUACCCUGGUGGAUCAUCACAAUUGAUUUUUGCCAACACCCAUGGAGGGCCUUAUUGUAAGACGUUGACUUCAUUUCAAGAUGCAUGGAGGAAGUUUGGUAUCCCAGGAAAACCAACCUUCUCUAUGAUUAGGAGCAGCAUCAGCACUUUUAGUGGGAGAUCCUUGGGAACCCAAAGCAAGGUACAAGUCCACCGGAUGAUGUGUCAUUCUGACGCAACUGCAGCGAGAUUUUAUGAGGCAGAUUUAAACUUUGACGAAGCCUUCAAGUGCCGCAACAAUGCUGCAAAGGCACUUGCUGUGAACAAUAGAACCAGAGACUCUGAGGAAUCUACAACCUCAGAAGACAAUGAAGAUGUGUUGCAGAGAAGAUAUGCUGGACUGAAGAAAAGAAAGUCUAAUCAAAAUGCCACAAGACAAGAAAUUGUGAAAAAGAAGACCAAACAGCAUGCAAACACCACUGACACAGACAGCAGCAAAGAUGAAAGUAACAAUGAAGUCAGGAAAGUCAUUGACCUGACAGCAGGAAACACAUCUGGAAAACACCCACAUAAACAGAGUGGCAGGGGAAGAGCAGAAGUGAGGGUAGAAGAAGACACAACAGGUGAUGAAGAUAUGCCAGGGAUGGUGACUACAGAGAGUAGUGAAGGUGAAGAUUAUGAUGAUAACUGUGAACACACUGACCUUACAGCAGCAGGUACAUUGGGAUCCACCAAAGGUAAAGAUAAUGCUAAAGAAAAAGGAAAAGCCACAAAGGACACAGGAAACUUGUAUAGUCAUACUCAAUUUCUUAAAAAGAAGUUUAAAUGUUGGGAAUCUCCUAAAAUUAUGUCAGAAAGAAUUGCAAUCCAAAGAAAAUUGCAAAAAGUUGUUAGACCAAAGGAAACAACUGAGGGUGUGAACCAAACACAGACGGAGACAAGAGAUGAAGACAAUAAUGCCUUGAGGCCAGAAAGCUUGAGUGAAGAUGAAAACAGUAUACAAACAGUGACUACAAAUAAUGAAGAAGACAAAGCUGAAGAUGAAAAUGGUCUCUUGUUGAACACAACAGACAUAGACCAAGAUGCUUCCACUGGACUAGUGAGAAGAACUACAGAAAAAAUCAAAGCUUUGAGCAGAGAGGAUAUAGGCAAAGAUAAAAAUGAACCACAGACAAAGACGACUACUAAGGAAAAUGGCCAUUUGAGAGCAGAAGGAACAACUAAAAACAAAGACACAGAGUAA
rnacentral:lncRNA from 1 species